UACGUAGGUGGCAAGCGUUAUCCGGAUUUACUGGGCGUAAAGAGCUCGUAGGUGGUUUGUCACGUCGUCUGUGAAAUUCCGGGGCUUAACCUCGGGCGUGCAGGCGAUACGGGCAAUACUUGAGUGCUGUAGGGGAGACUGGAAUUCCUGGUGUAGCGGUGAAAUGCGCAGAUAUCAGGAGGAACACCAAUGGCGAAGGCAGGUCUCUGGGCAGUUACUGACGCUGAGGAGCGAAAGCAUGGGUAGCGAACAGGAUUAGAUACCCCGGUA
rnacentral:rRNA from 1 species